rnacentral:rRNA from 1 species
UACGGAGGGGGCGAGCGUUGUUCGGAAUCACUGGGUGUAAAGGGUGCGUAGGCGGUGCGUUAAGUCUGAUGUGAAAGCCCUGGGCUCAACUCAGGAAUUGCAUUGGAAACUGGCGUGCCGGAGUACGGGAGAGGGAAGCGGAAUUCCUGGUGUAGCGGUGAAAUGCGUAGAUACCAGGAGGAACACCGGUGGCGAAGGCGGUUUCCUGGCCCAGUACUGACGCUGAGGCACGAAAGCGUGGGGAGCGAACGGG